rnacentral:rRNA from 1 species
CAGUAGCCGCGGUAAUACAGAGGGUGCGAGCGUUAAUCGGAUUUACUGGGCGUAAAGCGUGCGUAGGCGGCUUCUUAAGUUGGAUGUGAAAUCCCUGAGCUUAACUUAGGAAUUGCAUUCGAUACUGGGAAGCUAGAGUAUGGGAGAGGAUGGUAGAAUUCCAGGUGUAGCGGUGAAAUGCGUAGAGAUCUGGAGGAAUACCGAUGGCGAAGGCAGCCAUCUGGCCUAAUACUGACGCUGAGGUACGAAAGCAUGGGGAGCAAACAGGAUUAGAUACCCCGGUAGUCCCUGUCUCUUAUAC